GGAAUAUUGGACAAUGGGUGAGAGCCUGAUCCAGCCAUCCCGCGUGAAGGACGACGGCCCUAUGGGUUGUAAACUUCUUUUGUAUAGGGAUAAACCUUUCCACGUGUGGAAAGCUGAAGGUACUAUACGAAUAAGCACCGGCUAACUCCGUGCCAGCAGCCGCGGUAAUACGGAGGGUGCAAGCGUUAUCCGGAUUUAUUGGGUUUAAAGGGUCCGUAGGCGGACUCGUAAGUCAGUGGUGAAAUCUCAUAGCUUAACUAUGAAACUGCCAUUGAUACUGCGGGUCUUGAGUAAGGUAGAGGUAGCUGGAAUAAGUAGUGUAGCGGUGAAAUGCAUAGAUAUUACUUAGAACACCAAUUGCGAAGGCAGGUUACCAUGUCUUAACUGACGCUGAUGGACGAAAGCGUGGGGAGCGAACAGGAUUAGAUACCCUGGUAGUCCACGCCGUAAACGAUGCUAACUCGUUUUUGGGUUUUCGGAUUCAGAGACUAAGCGAAAGUGAUAAGUUAGCCACCUGGGGAGUACGAACGCAAGUUUGAAACUCAAAGGAAUUGACGGGGGCCCGCACAAGCGGUGGAUUAUGUGGUUUAAUUCGAUGAUACGCGAGGAACCUUACCAAGGCUUAAAUGGGAAUUGACAGGUUUAGAAAUAGACUUUUCUUCGGACAAUUUUCAAGGUGCUGCAUGGUUGUCGUCAGCUCGUGCCGUGAGGUGUUAGGUUAAGUCCUGCAACGAGCGCAACCCCUGUCACUAGUUGCUAGCAUUAAGUUGAGGACUCUAGUGAGACUGCCUACGCAAGUAGAGAGGAAGGUGGGGAUGACGUCAAAUCAUCACGGCCCUUACGCCUUGGGCCACACACGUAAUACAAUGGCCAGUACAGAGGGCUGCUACCAGGUGACUGGAUGCUAAUCUCGAAAGCUGGUCUCAGUUCGGAUUGGAGUCUGCAACUCGACUCUAUGAAGCUGGAAUCGCUAGUAAUCGCGCAUCAGCCAUGGCGCGGUGAAUACGUUCCCGGGCCUUGUACACACCGCCCGUCAAGCCAUGGAAGU
rnacentral:rRNA from 1 species